rnacentral:rRNA from 1 species
UGCCCCACUAGUCUGGGAUACCACUUGGAAACAGGUGCUAAUACCGGAUAAGAAAGCGGAUCGCAUGAUCAGCUUUUAAAAGGCGGCGUAAGCUGUCGCUAUGGGAUGGCCCCGCGGUGCAUUAGCUAGUUGGUAAGGUAAAGGCUUACCAAGGCGAUGAUGCAUAGCCGAGUUGAGAGACUGAUCGGCCACAUUGGGACUGAGACACGGCCCAAACUCCUACGGGAGGCAGCAGC